rnacentral:snRNA from 1 species
GUGCUCGCUUCAGCAGCACAUAUACUAAAAUUGGAACGAUACAGAGAAGAUUAACAUGGCCCCUGCGCAGGGAUGACACACAAAUUCGUGAAGCGUUCCAUAUUUUU